GAUGAACGCUAGCGGCAGGCUUAACACAUGCAAGUCGAGGGGUAACAGGGAAGAGCUUGCUUUUCUGCUGACGACCGGCGCACGGGUGCGUAACGCGUAUAGAACCUACCUUUUACAGGGGAAUAGCCCAGAGAAAUUUGGAUUAAUGCCCCAUAGUAUUAUUGAAUGGCAUCAUUUAAUAAUUAAACAUUUAUGGGUAAAAGAUGGCUAUGCGUUCUAUUAGCUAGAUGGUAAGGUAACGGCUUACCAUGGCAACGAUAGAUAGGGGUCCUGAGAGGGAGAUCCCCCACACUGGUACUGAGACACGGACCAGACUCCUACGGGAGGCAGCAGUGAGGAAUAUUGGACAAUGGAGGCAACUCUGAUCCAGCCAUGCCGCGUGCAGGAAGACGGUCCUAUGGAUUGUAAACUGCUUUUAUAUAGGAAGAAACCUUUCCACGUGUGGAAAGCUGACGGUACUAUAAGAAUAAGCACCGGCUAACUCCGUGCCAGCAGCCGCGGUAAUACGGAGGGUGCAAGCGUUAUCCGGAAUCAUUGGGUUUAAAGGGUCCGUAGGCGGACUAAUAAGUCAGGGGUGAAAUCCAACAGCUUAACUGUUGAACUGCCUUUGAUACUGUUAGUCUUGAGUUAUAUGGAAGUAGAUAGAAUAUGUAGUGUAGCGG
rnacentral:rRNA from 1 species